rnacentral:tRNA from 1 species
GUGGUAUUAGCUUAUGGGUAAAGCCCCUCGCUGUGAACGAGGCGAAGGCGGUUCGAGUCUGCCAUAUCACCCCA